UUAAUUUUGAGAUUAUUUGUGUAUCGCCUCAUAUCAUCCGAGUAUUUAUAGUUAUCAAGCUCAUCGACUUUUUUUUUUAUUGUAUGCGGCUUAAAAUUGUGGUCAAAUAUAGUAAAUUGAUCCAUAGACAAGCAAAGACAAUAAGACAAUACGUCUCAUGCCGUCACUCUACCAUCCUCAUAUCUAUCCUGCAAAAAUUUCAGUAUAGUGGCGUUGAUAUCAAUUAUUGUGCUAAUUAAUUAUGAUAAAAUACUUUUAAUAUUGUAUUAUAUCAUUCGCUUUGAACCAAAUUGACAUUUUUUUCAAGAGACCUUAAAUAUCUGACAUUUUAUAAAUAUUUUCAUUUCUUUUUUACUUUUCAAGUGGGACAUUG
rnacentral:lncRNA from 1 species